rnacentral:lncRNA from 1 species
GACUUGGAUUAGAUUCUCUGCAUCCAUUUUGUGGCAACCAUCUUUACCUCCAGGAGAUCUGACAUCUUAUGGCCUUGGUCACUAGGAACUCAGUGGUACACAGACAUACAUGCAGACAAAACACUCAUACACAUAAAUUAAAAAAAAUAAGUAGAUACAGUUUUAAUAUUUUAGAUUUUAUUAUUUCAUGUGUAUGAGAGUUUUGACUUCAUGUGUACCACUCGCGCUGGUGCCUGAGGAGGUGGUGAGCCUCCAUGUGGGUUCUGGGAAUCGAGCCUGGAUCCUUUGUUACAACAGCAAGUGCUCUUAACCAUUUCCCAAAGCUGAGGUUUUAUAAGAUUCUUUUUCUUUUUUCAUUUCUUGCCACUUCCUCUUCCUUUCCCUUUCUUUCAACAGUUUUGUAUGGUUAAAUAGUAGGAGAUAAUUAUUUUGGACUAAGUUCAUAUAAUGGAGCCCAACAGACUAGGCCAAAGAAGUGAGUCACUUUAUAGUUAGGGUGCACAUAUACAGGUCAGAGGACAGUUUGUGGGAGUCAGCUCUCUCCUUCCACCAUUUGGGUCCUAGGGAUCAAACUUAGGUUGCCAGCUUGGCAGCAAAUACUUUUACCCACAGAGCUACCUUGCCAGCCUCAGUGACACUGUUGCAGUGUGUGCGUGCAUGCAUGCUGAGGGUUGAACCCUGGAUCUCCCAAAUGCUAGGCCAAGUGCACUGCUAUAGAACGCCUUCCCAAUAGCAUUGGAAAUGUAAACGAGG